GAUGAACGCUGACAGAAUGCUUAACACAUGCAAGUCAACUGUGGCGUCCGGGUGAGUAACGCGUAAAGAACUUGCCUCACAGAUAGGGACAACAUUUGGAAACGAAUGCUAAUACCUGAUACUGUGAGAGAGCUUUGCGUCCAAUUAGCUAGUUGGUGAGGUAAAGGCUCACCACGGCGAGGAUGGGUAGCCGGCCUGAGAGGGGGAUCGGCCACAAGGGGACUGAGACGCGGCCCUUACUCCUUCGGGAGGCAGCAGUGGGGACUAUUGGACAAUGGACCAAAGUCUGAUCCAGCAAUUCUGGGUGCACGAUGAAGUUGUCGGAAUGUAAAGUGCUUUCAGUUGGGAAGCGGUACCAACAGAAGAAGUGACGGCUAAAUACGUGCCAGCAGCCGCGGUAAUUC
rnacentral:rRNA from 1 species